rnacentral:rRNA from 1 species
AAGGGUGCGUAGGCGGCCUGUUAAGUCAGAGGUGAAAGACGGUAGCUCAACUAUCGCAGUGCCUUUGAUACUGAUCGGGCUUGAAUGGACUAGAGGUAGGCGGAAUGAGACAAGUAGCGGUGAAAUGCAUAGAUAUGUCUCAGAACACCGAUUGCGAAGGCAGCUUACUAUGGUUUUAUUGACGCUGAGGCACGAAAGCGUGGGGAUCAAACAGGAUUAGAUACCCCAGU